UACGAAGGGGGCUAGCGUUGCUCGGAAUCACUGGGCGUAAAGCGCACGUAGGCGGAUUGCUAAGUCAGGGGUGAAAUCCUGGAGCUCAACUCCAGAACUGCCUUUGAUACUGGCGAUCUUGAGUCCGGGAGAGGUGAGUGGAACUGCGAGUGUAGAGGUGAAAUUCGUAGAUAUUCGCAAGAACACCAGUGGCGAAGGCGGCUCACUGGCCCGGUACUGACGCUGAGGUGCGAAAGCGUGGGGAGCAAACAGGGAUUAAGAUACCC
rnacentral:rRNA from 1 species